CGCCAAGAAAUGUUGCAAUUGUUCAGUAUUGUCUUUACCAUGUAGUGGCUUAAUUAAUAAUUUGACAUGUUUAUAUGACUGUAAUAUUUUUACAUAAAUAAGGCCGUUAGCUUUCUCGUUUGAAUUGCUUUACAUUGUCUUAUCGGGGCCUUUUAUAGCUGACUAUGCGGUAUGGGCUUUGCUCGUUGUUGAAGUCCGUACAGUGACCUAUAGUUGUUAAUGUCUGUGUCAUUUUGGUCUUUUGUGGAUAGUUGUCUCAUUGGCAAUCAUACCACAUCUUCUUUUUUAUAUUAUAUGUUUUUUUAAGCAAAUCUUCAUUUUAUGUUUG
rnacentral:lncRNA from 1 species